CCGAUAUCCUGUAAUUACACAUAUUCCCUUCACUUUCCUUCCCUUCAUUUUACUGUAAAAAAUUUCGAUUUUUCCUUACUCACUAGCCUUGAAAGAAUUGAAAGAAAUUGAAAGAAAUUUCUUUCUAUUGAAAGAAAUAAUAGAAAUGUUUAUUUUAGGCUCAUUAGGAGAUAGGUCCAUUCUGUCAAGAUUAUGAUCUUUUAUUGAAUGGAGUUUCAUCUCAAAUGAUUUUACUUCUUCAAGCAAAUGUUUCUGCAGAUCUUGGGCCCAAGGGAAAGCAACAACACCAGCCCCUAAGCUAAACUGGCAGAGUGAGACAUGUUUGAUUACUAAAUAGGAAGUUUCUACGGAAAUAAAUAGGAGGCAUUACUUUCAGAGAGACCUACAUUUGUUUAAGAUUUAAGAAAUCCAAGUUUUGGUACCCCUUAAUCCCAUGUACUUGCCACAUACCGGGAGCACACAGCACUUUUCAAGAAGGGAAAAAGAGGCAUCAUCCUGUGUGAGCAGAAUGCUGUAAAGGAGCACCAGGGAAAGCUAACAAGAAGCUGUCAAAGUUGCUACUUCUAAGCUGAGUAUUCCAACAGGAUAUGUAAUAGUCACUGAAUCUGACCCAGUCUUCACUGUCAGAUCAUGUCUGACAUUUUGAUGGUGCGAGAUUUUUAAAAAGAAGAGGCAUUUUGCCACAAACCACUUCAGUCAGAGAAAGACUAUUAUUUUUGAGACUGCACUGCAAACCCAGAGGCACUGAACUUUCUACAUCAGAGCAGAUCGCAAACACCUCCAGUCACUUGAGAGCACGAGAUCACUGCUGAAGUCUCGGAACUUUGUCCAAACUGAGCCACUGGUUGUUGUUGUCAGGGUACUGCCUACCACAGAGAGAUCCAUGGCACAAAAGCUAAUCUAACACAACGGCUAAAAUAAGCAGAUUUCUAAUCUGAUCUUCUGUAGAGGGAGUAGUCAGGUUGCAAAAACUAGAAUUCUCAUCGUUUGAUGAGACUGCAUACAAAAACUUGCAGCAGUCGCACAGUACAGUGGUUGUUCUAUGAAGCCUUAGAUGUUUUUAGAUGCUUCAGCAGUUCAGUCAUGAGACCAGUACACUUUGAUCAGCAUAGCAAAACACACCCUGGAAAAAUUAGCAGAUUAGUCUUGUGAUAAUGCGCAAAGCACAUUCAUAAGUAUGAGUGACUGGUGCAAUUCUAAAAAUGAAUAACUCCUGUGUAAUUAGAAACAUUUAUCUGUUUAAUCUUUGAUACAGUCACGAAUUGCAAAAUUUGGCAAAACAUCACUUUAACCACUUAUUUCUGCCUACUGCUGAGAGGAGUGUGAUGCAAACAAUAUCCUUUAAAAAACAACAACAGGACAACAGAAAUUAGACAACUACAUACAUGUAAAAUGGAAAAUAUGAUUUAAGUUGUUUAUUGGAAGAUUUAAUUUGGGACACCCCAAGACUGCAUGGGCCAGAACUAAUAGGAAAUGUGUAAAAUCCAAUUUACUGACCUGUCAGCAGAGCUGUCAGCAGCAUUGUCUGGGAGCUGCACCACAAGGCCGGG
ensembl:lncRNA